rnacentral:rRNA from 1 species
UGGCGGACGGGUGAGUAAUGUCUGGGAAACUGCCCGAUGGAGGGGGAUAACUACUGGAAACGGUAGCUAAUACCGCAUAACGUCGCAAGACCAAAGAGGGGGACCUUAGGGCCUCUUGCCAUCGGAUGUGCCCAGAUGGGAUUAGCUAGUAGGUGGGGUAAUGGCUCACCUAGGCGGCGAUCCCUAGCUGGUCUGAGAGGAUGACCAGCCACACUGGAACUGAGACACGGUCCAG